UACGUAGGGUGCAAGCGUUGUCCGGAAUUAUUGGGCGUAAAGGGCUCGUAGGCGGUCUGUCGCGUCGGCUGUGAAAACUCGGGGCUCAACUCCGAGCUUGCAGUCGAUACGGGCAGGCUAGAGUUCGGCAGGGGAGACUGGAAUUCCUGGUGUAGCGGUGAAAUGCGCAGAUAUCAGGAGGAACACCGGUGGCGAAGGCGGGUCUCUGGGCCGAUACUGACGCUGAGGAGCGAAAGCGUGGGGAGCGAACAGG
rnacentral:rRNA from 1 species